AAUAUCUACGUUCCUUUAGGAAUUAUCUGUUGAAGUCCUAACCCCCAAGGUAAAGUAAUCAGGGUAGGAAGGACUCUGGGAAGUGAUUAGGUCAUCGCGGGAUGGGAUAAGCCACAUUAGAAACUGUAACUUUCAGACAUAGCUCAACAGCAGAGGGCCUAGCACUCGAGACACUCAGUGUAAUCCCCAGUACUGCAACACAGAAGUGCAGACGAACAAACGGAAUCCCAGAGAGCCACCAAGUCCUUUCCCCAUGUCUCACGAUACAACUCAAAGGUGUGGUCUGUAAACCAAGCAGAGACUCUUGCCAGAUGCUGACUACUUAUGCUGUCAUUGUGCAAUCCCACACUAUUCCUGUUGUCUAUAACCAGCCUCAACUUAUCACACUUUAUCACAGCAUCCCAAGGGGACUUGGUUGCUGUAAUACGAGACACUAUAUUACAGCUAUGACAACUUGCUUCAAGGUUUCAGCAUUCAGUUUCCGAAUGAUUAGAUCUACAUAUCUAAGGGAGAUGACUCCUUCCCUUCUCUGCCUCAGACAGUCCUUCUGAGCACUUUGUUUUCGUGGCUGUGUGUAGUUUUAGAUAACAGAAAUGUGACCAGCUAGCUCCUCACUGCAGGCAAGCGGAGCAGCUGUGCCAGGCCAGGUAGGGACUGUGAGAAGGCUCUGUGGUGUGCUUCUCUUCCGACCAUGUGCUUGCUG
rnacentral:lncRNA from 1 species